UGGGGAAUAUUGCACAAUGGGCGCAAGCCUGAUGCAGCCAUGCCGCGUGUAUGAAGAAGGCCUUCGGGUUGUAAAGUACUUUCAGCGGGGAGGAAGGUGUUGUGGUUAAUAACCGCAGCAAUUGACGUUACCCGCAGAAGAAGCACCGGCUAACUCCGUGCCAGCAGCCGCGGUAAUACGGAGGGGGCAAGCGUUAAUCGGAAUUACUGGGCGUAAAGCGCACGCAGGCGGUCUGUCAAGUCGGAUGUGAAAUCCCCGGGCUCAACCUGGGAACUGCAUUCGAAACUGGCAGGCUAGAGUCUUGUAGAGGGGGGUAGAAUUCCAGGUGUAGCGGUGAAAUGCGUAGAGAUCUGGAGGAAUACCGGUGGCGAAGGCGGCCCCCUGGACAAAGACUGACGCUCAGGUGUGAAAGCGUGGGGAGCAAACA
rnacentral:rRNA from 1 species